UCCCAAGUCCCAACCACUCCAAUCCUCGACAAGGUGAACCGGAGUGCGGAUGGAGGUGGCUGUCGGCGCGGCGAGCUCGCUCCUUGGCAAGUUGCUCACGAAGCUGUCUGAAGACCUGGUGGCCGCGUAUGUCCACAGCCUUGAGCUCGGCCACAACUCCCAGCAGAUCAAAACAAAACUGUUGCACACACAAGGGCUGCUGCAAGUGGCCGAGGGGAGGGACGUGAGCAACGUCACCGCCCUGCAGGCCUUGUUGGAGGAGCUGAGCAAGAAGGCCGACGAGGCGGAGGACUCGCUGGAUGAGCUCCACUACUUCAAGAUCCAGGACCAGCUCGACGGCACCAACUAUGCGGCGCCGGAUCUCGGCGAUAGCCUCCGCGGCCAUGCUCGCCAUGGUGGCCAUGCUGCUCGCCACACCAUCGGUAACUGGUUCCCAUGCUCUUCUUGCUCGCGUGCGCAAGAUGAUGAUUCUGCUCCUACUGCUGUUGCCAAUAGCCCACACCACUAUGCAACCAACUCUGUUACUGCUAGUGCUGAUGAUGAUGGCGAUGUCGAUAAGUUACAUUUCGACAGAGUCACCAUGUCCAGAAAAAUUAAGUCAGUGAUAAAUGACAUACACUCUUUGUGUGAUCCCAUCUCUGAUUUGCUCAACAAAGUUCCAAGCAGCAGCACAGCCGUCACCCUAAAACGGCCACACGUAGGGUCCACAAUUAUACAAGAUACACUGCACGGGAGGAGAGACAUUUUUGAGAAAAUUGUCAAUGAUAUCACAAGUGGCACACAUCACAGUCAAACUGUUUCUGUUCUUCCUAUAGUUGGCCCGGGGGGUAUUGGAAAGACAACUUUCACCCAACACCUGUAUAAUGAUGGUAGGACUGAAGAGCACUUUGCUGUUAUGGUUUGGGUGUGUGUAUCAACUGAUUUUGAUGUGUUGAAACUCACCCAACAGAUUCUUAACUGCAUACCUGCAACUGACAAUGAAAUUGCAAUUGAAACAACCAAUCUAGACAGACUUCAAAAAUCCAUUGCGCAGAGACUGAAGACCAAAAGGUUCUUAAUUGUCUUGGAUGAUAUAUGGAAAUGCGAUAGUGAGGAUGAGUGGAAAACCUUGCUAGCUCCAUUCACAAAAGGGGACGCCAAAGGCAGCAUGAUACUUGUCACAACUCGAUUCCCAAAACUAGCAAGAAUGAUGAAAACAGUUGAUUCAGUAGAACUGCAAGGCUUGGAGUCUAAUGACUUCUUCACAUUCUUUGAAGCAUGUAUAUUUGGUGAACAUAAGCCCAGGGAUUAUGAAGAUGACUUAGCUUGUAUUGCAAGAGAAAUUGCAAGCAAGUUAAAGGGCUUCCCACUAGCAGCCAAAACAGUUGGUCGACUAUUGAAGAAAAAUCUUUCCCGGGAACAUUGGAAUGGAGUUCUUCACAAUCAUGAGUGGCGAAACCAGAAAAAUGAUAAUGAUAUUAUACCAUCUUUGAAAAUUAGCUACGACUACCUCCCUUUCGAUCUGAAAAAAUGCUUCUCAUAUUUUUCCCUUUAUCCUGAAGAUUUUAGGUUUAGCACUUCAGGAAUUAAUCGUUUUUGGAUUGCAAUAGGCAUCAUAGACUCUAGCCACCGAAGCGAUAAGAAUUACAUGGAAGAUCUAAUGGAAAAUGGUUUUCUCAUGAAGGAGGUUUCUAAAUAUCCUCCUUUUCAUGAAUACUAUGUAAUGCAUGAUUUAAUGCAUGUGCUAUCUCGGAUUGUCUCUGCACAAGAAUGCCUCAAUAUAAGUGAUCUAGAUGUUAGAGCUGAGGCUAUCCCACAAUCUAUUCGGCACCUAUCCAUCACCAUAGAGAAUAGAUAUGAUGAAAAACUUAGGGAAGAAAUGGGUAAACUAAAAGGAAGGAUAGACAUUGUAAAUCUACGGACAUUGAUGAUUUUUAGAGAAUAUGAAGAAAGAAUCGUUGAGAUCUUAAAAGAUACGUUUAAAGAAACAAAAGGCCUGCGCAUCCUAGUUAUAGCAGUGAAGUCCCUUGAAUCUCUGCCACGAAGCUUUUCAAAACUUAUCCACCUUCAUACCUGCAAAUUCGAUCACCCAAUGUCACAGAAAUGACUUUACCUAGCACACUAUCCAGAUUUUAUCACUUGAAAUUCUUGGACCUAAGUAGUUGGUACGGUAGUUCUAAUUUGCCUAAGGUCAUUAGCCACCUUGUGAAUUUACGCGAUUUUCUUGCUAAGAAAGAACUCCACUCCAAUGUUCCUGAGGUUGGAAAGAUGAAGCAUCUACAUGAGCUGAAAGAAUUCCAUGUUAAGAAAGAAAGUGUUGGAUUUGAUUUAAGAGAGUUGGGGGAAUUGAGAGAGCUUGGGGGAGCACUCAGUAUACAUAAUCUUGAAAAUGUGGCAUCCAAGGAAGAAGCUAGUGGCGCCAAAUUGGUGUUGAAAAGGGAUUUGAAAGAGUUGACAUUAGUUUGGGGCAGAGCGCAACCAACUGAUAUAGAUGCUGAUAUUCUUGAUGCUCUUCAACCACACUCUAACCUUACAACACUUGGCAUCAUGAAUCAUGGUGGUACCACUUGUCCUAGUUGGUUGUAUCCUGAGAUACGGGUGGACAAUUUGGAGACUCUCCAUUUGCACGGCGUGUCUUGGGGAACCCUUCCACCUUUUGGCCACCUGCCAUAUCUCAGGGAACUCAGCUUGAAGAGCAUUUCUGGACUGUGUCAGUUUGGUCCUAACUAUGGUGGUGUUACAGGCAAAUGUCUUAUGCAGUUGAAGAAAGUAUUGUUUCAUGACUUGUCAGAUCUUGUCGAGUGGGUUGUGGAGCCUAAUUGCCGUAUGUUUCCAAGUCUUGAAAGCAUCGAUUGCAGCAAUUGUCCCAAUCUAUGUGUGAUGCCCUUCUCGGAGUGCUCUUGUGCCAGUUUGUGCAGGCUUCGCAUUAAUGGUUGCCCCAAGUUGUCUCUGCCCACCAUGCCUCACACCUCCACACUAACAAAUUUUGCUGUUAACAAGGGUUCAGAAAAGUUGUCUUACCAUGGAAAAGAAUUUGUUGUUAGCAAGUAUUCUGGUGCCUUGGCCUUCCACAAUGUGGGUGAAGUAGAUGAUAUGCAAAUUGGAGAUGUAUCACACAUUUCGUGGACAGACCUUGAAAAGUUUAAAUCCUUGAGAAAACUAGAUGUCAGAAGAUGCGACAGCAUGUUCUUUGGAGAACUGGAUGGCAGUCUUGUCUUCCACAACAUGGAUAAAGUUGAGAGUCUCAGUGUAGAUGUUUCUCAUUUUACCGGAAAAUUCUUGUCAAAAGUCUUCAAUAGUUCCCCAGCUCUUGCUGAACUGGAGAUAUAUGGCAGUGAAGACGAUGAGGAACAAGCAAUACAGUUCCCAUCAUCUAGCUCACUGCGGACACUUAGCUUCGGGUGCUCGAAUGGCCUGGUUCUUCUGCCUGCGGAGGAUGGAGGAGGACUCCAUGACAGCACGUCGCUCCAGUCAUUAGAAAUAUUUGAAUGCGGCAAGUUGUUGUCUCGGUGGCCCAUGGGAGAAGCAGGAGGAGCUCUGAUGACCAAUCCUCUCCCUGCUUCCCUCAGGAAACUAAAUAUUAUCGGAGAGUCAAGCAUGUCGUCAAUGGCUUUGAUCUCAAACCUCACGUCUCUCACCCAUCUAAGGCUAGUAGGCUAUCAGAAUUUAACAAUGGAUGGGUUUAAUCCUCUCAUCGCAGUCAACCUCAAGGAAUUGGAGGUCUUUAACUGGAACGGCAACUCUCUAGCAGCAGAUCUUCUCUCAGAGGUAGCAAGGACCAAAUUAAUGGAUGCGGGUUCCUUCCAGUUGGAGAAACUGAAUGUGGAUAGCAUCUCGGCGGUUCUUGUUGCCCCCAUUUGCAACCACCUCUCCGCCACCCUCCACGUAUUGCAAUUCUAUGUUGAUAAGCGGGCAAAAGGCUUCACGGAAGAGCAAGAGAAUGCACUUCAGCUCCUCACCUCCCUCGAGAAACUAGAAUUUUAUCGCUGCACGGUUCUGCAGUCCCUCCCUCAAGGAUUACAUCGCCUUUCUUCUCUCAAAGAAUUAGUAAUCCUCAGUUGUCCCAAACUCCGAUGGCUGCCAGAGCAGGGCUUCCCCACUUCGCUGCAAGCUCUACAUCUAUGAUUUAUAUGAUUUCAUUCACAUUCCAUUCAUGACUUCUGUAUCUCUGUAUCUACACAUACAGCUGCCCUAUAAUCUAUUCUUAUGCGGCUUCCUUUUUUCUAACCAGAACUGUUAAAUUUCUUAUGCAGGAAGCGUGGUAGCUUUUGUUCCGCACAUACUUCUGAAAUGAUGUAUUACACCUUUCAUGUGCCAGCUGCAUGGUAAAUACAAAGACUAAGGCGACAGCUGAUCGAUGGACCUAUAGAUGAAUGUAUCUAUUUUUAUUUACCUUUUUUUAACAUAAUCUCAUCAGGACAGGAAGCAGGCUUGUGAAUAAUUGGUCCUUUUUUUUCAAUAAAUCAGAUCGAUUCUGCAAAUUUGCCUCUAGUUCUGCUUUUAAUUUGAAUUAUUGAUCCUGUGUGCUUGCCAAUUUUGAUUGAAAACUGUCAGGUAUCAACAAAAUGAAGAAACUCGUUUUUUUUCAAGUAAGCGGCAAUACGAAGUGAAGGUGUAGGAUCUGGUUUUAUUUCUCAUUUCCCUCUGAAUGAUCAAGUGUAUGAGCUUUCUGAAGCUUAGAAUGACAUCACAUUCCAGUGUCCAGCCUGCUGAUACUUUGCCACGAUAAUUCGGGACAAUCAAUGAGAAAUUUGAAGAUGCUCCUAAACUAUUCUGGGCUGUUGCAGAGAAAUUUUAAGAUGCUCCUCAACUAUUCUAGACUGUUCAUUCCUUUUGAUCCAACAGUUUAGAUUGAACAUGGUGAUCUACUACCUAUACUAGGAGAAACAUUGCUGGUUAUUUAUAAAGCGGGGCGAAAGCCUUUUUCGGUUUAUGUUCCGACAAGUACUGAUGCUGUGGUAACCAACUUCCAUCUUGGGUUGAUUGCAUAUGAGCUGACGUUUCACCGGCAUCCUUCACAGUUUUAGAACGAUUACAACCAACUGUGAGUUUCACAGUUGGCAUUCAGGACAUAGCUCCUCUAUCUGAAUGGUAACAGUAAAUGCAACAUUUAUCCUGAUAUUCUGAGUGAGUCAAGCCUCCGAGUCCUGCAGUGACCAUUUAAAAGAAAAAAGCAAGGCAAAUACGUCUAUAAAUUCCCUUGCCCCCAGAGUCCACACUGUGUGUGAGCUCUCAGCAUUUGGGUACGCCCUUACUAGAGCUCAAAAUUGACGAUGUGCCAGCGUCAGAAGUGGUGUUCCUCGCAAAUUUGCUCCCAUUUGAUGAACCCAUACCCUGAGCGUGUUUUCAAGUUCAGCUUCCGGGCGAAGGUGUGACACCAAGAUGAAAUGUUGCUACUCCGCAUCGAGCGCCCACCACAUUCAGUUUGUUGCCGGAACUAAGCCUGAGCCUGAGCCGAUCUGGUGUGUUAUGCAAGUUCAAUGCAAGCAGCCCCAGGGAAUUACUUACCGCUGCAAAGACUCGGCAAGUUUGCUCCAUCCACGGCUUGAUGGUUCUCACGAAUUAAUCGUUUAAGUUGUUCUCACGCCUAACUGCUAUGUGUGCCUCUAGUAUAAGUAUGAAGUAUCCCCACAACAAGUGCCAUGUGAAGGCGAAUGAGAAUUCCGAGUUUGAGUUUGUACGCAGUCGGUUGGAUUGUGUGUGCUGUUUUGUGUUGUGUUGUGCUGCGAGCACCAGAUCCCGUUGAGUGUUGGCUGUUAUGUGUGGAUCGUAAGGGUUUGUCCUUAAUCCAUAUGGGAUUCUUUUGGUUC